GAAGAAACCAUUUCAGUGACUAGCAAAAAGAGUUCUUCAUUGAAGUGCAGUUUUCUACAACGAAUUGCUUCUGUAUUUUUAUGCAUGAGUCAUCCCACACUCUGAGUGCUGCCAUCAUGAAAAAAAAGACACCUCAACUUCUGAGAACUGCGUGGGGCUCUGACAAAUACACGUGCUGACUUCUUCGGCUCUGGCCAUGAGGAAGCCAGUUGGUUUUCCUAAUGGAGCAGCACACACUGGGACACAGAGAUGAUGCAGUCCCUGUCCAGAGGGACCCACCAGCAGGACAUCAAAGACAACUGUGACAAAUGAGACCACAUUAUGCAAA